CCUGGGUUCAAGUUAUUCUCCUGCCUCAGCCUCCCGAAUAGCUGGAAUUACAGGCUGAAGAAGGCCCAACAACAACCUGGAUUGACACCCAGUAAUCCCCCUGCAGCCCCAUUAACAAGACCAACGAAGCAAACAUCUCAAGCCAAGAAAAUUUUGAAGCCAGAGCGGGGCACAUGCCUGUAAUCCCAGCACUUUGGGAGACCAAGACAGGAGGAUCACUUGAGUCCAGGAG